GAAGUUUUCAGAGAUGAGAAUGUGCCUUCGGGAACCGUGAGACAGGUGCUGCAUGGCUGUCGUCAGCUCGUGUUGUGAAAUGUUGGGUUAAGUCCCGCAACGAGCGCAACCCUUAUCCUUUGUUGCCAGCGAUUAGGUCGGGAACUCAAAGGAGACUGCCAGUGAUAAACUGGAGGAAGGUGGGGAUGACGUCAAGUCAUCAUGGCCCUUACGACCAGGGCUACACACGUGCUACAAUGGCGCAUACAAAGAGAAGCAACCUCGCGAGAGCAAGCGGACCUCAUAAAGUGCGUCGUAGUCCGGAUUGGAGUCUGCAACUCGACUCCAUGAAGUCGGAAUCGCUAGUAAUCGUGGAUCAGAAUGCCACGGUGAAUACGUUCCCGGGCCUUGUACACACCGCCCGUCACACCAUGGGAGUGGGUUGCAAAAGAAGUAGGUAGCUUAACCUUCGGGAGGGCGCUUACCACUUUGUGAUUCAUGACUGGGGUGAAGUCGUAACAAGGUAACCGUAGGGGAACCUGCGGUUGGAUCACCUCCUUACCUGAAAGAAGC
rnacentral:rRNA from 1 species